AAAGGAUGAGUACUUGGAUUUGGCUCUGUUUUUUAUCCACACAAGUUUACGGUGCCUUUUCAAGCAGCCCCAAGUACAAGUACAAGUGAGACAAUGUAGAGGUUUAUUUUUACUUUUUCACUAUCUAACUACUUUACUAUAAACACCUCUAGCUGUUGGAAUUCAAUUUGGUAGUACAUUGUUAUUUGUAAGUUGUUAUUUGCUGAUAUAUAUUUCCAAGUUGAAAGUAGAUUACUAUUUGUUGAUAUAUUUUCAGGUUGGAAGUAUGUUUCUAUUUUUAUAUAUAUAUUUUCAGGUUGAAAGUAGAUUGCCAUUUGUUGAUAUAUAUUUCUAGGUUGUUAUUUGUUGAUAUAUAUUUUCAACUUGAAAGUAUAGUACUUUAAUUGAAUAAUGAUAUGACUUGGAGAUUAUAUAGGUAUAAACUUAGUUAUUGUUGCUUUUAAUUGUUUGUACCUUUUUUUUUCAAAUUGAAAGUAUGUUGCUAGUAUUAAUAAUUUAUGUUUUUUUUUUUCAAGUUGAAAGUAUGUUGCCUUUUUUUGGAUAUAUGGUUUCAUGUUUAAUUAUGUGUAAACUUAAUUAUUGUUGUUUUGUAGGUUUUUGUGGACCGUAUUCGUGAGGAGAUAAAGGAUGAGUUUAGGGCAGAAUGUGAAGAAAUUGAGGCCCAAAAACAAGAAAUUACCAAGAUUUAUAAUGACAUCCUAAAACUCACCCAAGGAAGUAACCUACCCAACUAAUUAGACCUUGAC
rnacentral:lncRNA from 1 species